CUCGGGCCGACUGACUGAUUAUUCCCCUUCGUUUAAAGCCCGCCCACUGACACAGAAAUAUAGCCUUGAUUUUCCCUGUAUAAUACAUUUUUACCCUGAGUUUGACAGACACUUCCAGCAGCCAAAGAGCGCAGAUCUGUGAGGUAGUGAGGUAGCAGCAGUCGAGAUGAGAGCGCUGAGCAGAAGGCGCACCAGACGCUCUCCAAACCCCAAACUCGUAGUCGCGCACGCCUGGAACUCAUACAUUUGGGCACUGGAGUGAAGCAGGGUUGGAAGUCGUUUUUAGAGGUUUCAGAGGAUAUUAGAAUGAACGGCGAUUGAGUAUCACACCAUAAGUAGACACAGGGACACUACUCACUCCGAGGGACGUUUACUGCUGUUUCCAUCUUUUAACACUACCCAUUUAUCAUCUGCUGACAUGGAGGAAAAAAACUGAAAAAGAAACACUACAGGACCACACCUCAUAGAUAUAAAUGUACUUUAAUUUUAGCAAUAAAUAUAUUUAAUGUGCAAAACAACCUUGAAAAUGUACAACACAAGUACACAAAUUGUAUUUCCUUUGCAACUUUCUUAAUACAUUUUCAUUAAUGUCAGACACUGACUGGUUAUGUAGAUUUCUGUCAAAAAUGUAUAUUUAGUUUAAGUAAAAGCUACUCAAACAUUUUAAAAUUGUUAAAUAUGUAUGCCAAUAUUAUUUUAAAGUGUGUUGAAAUAAGCAUAUUGUCUUUGUCUGUUAUAGUAAUAAUUAAAUAAUUAAAAAUAUUUAAAAAUAUAGAUGUUGUGUGAAUAACAGUAUGAUUGAAUACAAGCAAAAUUAAUAUAAUUAAUUUUUUACAUGUGUUUGAAAAU